UACGUAGGGUGCGAGCGUUAAUCGGAAUUACUGGGCGUAAAGCGUGCGCAGGCGGUUUUGUAAGCCAGAUGUGAAAUCCCCGGGCUUAACCUGGGAAUGGCAUUUGGGACUGCAAGGCUUGAGUGCGGCAGAGGAGACUGGAAUUCCUGGUGUAGCAGUGAAAUGCGUAGAUAUCAGGAGGAACACCGAUGGCGAAGGCAGGUCUCUGGGCUGACACUGACGCUCAUGCACGAAAGCGUGGGAGCGAACAA
rnacentral:rRNA from 1 species